rnacentral:tRNA from 1 species
GACCGCGUAGCUGAGUUGGAAGAGCAUUGGGCUAGUAUUCCAAAGGUCGUAGGUUCGAUUCCCACCUUGGCCG